rnacentral:rRNA from 1 species
GAUUGCCUACGGGAGGCAGCAGUGGGGAAUAUUGCACAAUGGGCGAAAGCCUGAUGCAGCAACGCCGCGUGAAGGAAGAAGGCUUUCGGGUUGUAAACUUCUUUUAAGAGGGAAGAGAAGAAGACGGUACCUCUUGAAUAAGCCACGGCUAACUACGUGCCAGCAGCCGCGGUAAUACGUAGGUGGCAAGCGUUGUCCGGAUUUACUGGGUGUAAAGGGCGUGCAGCCGGGCUGACAAGUCAGAUGUGAAAUCCCGCGGCUCAACCGCGGAACU